rnacentral:rRNA from 1 species
AGAAUCAACGCUGGCGGCGUGCCUAACACAUGCAAGUUGAGCGCUUGAGGGGGCAACCCCAAGAGAGCAGCGAACGGUGAGUAACGCGUGGUGAUCUUCCUUCGAGUGGGAACAACAGUCGGGAAACUGGUGCUAAUUCCGCAUAACACCCUGGAGCUACGAGCUUCAGGAUCAAAGGCCGGGACCGUAAGGCCUGGCGCUUGAAGAUGACGCCCGCGUCCGAUUAGCUAGGUUGGCGGGUAAUCGGCCCACGAAGGCUUCGAUCGGUA